GACGAACGCUGGCGGCGUGCUUAACACAUGCAAGUCGAACGGAAAGACCCUGCUUUUGUGGGGUGCUCGAGUGGCGAACGGGUGAGUAACACGUGUGUAACCUGCCCUUGACUUUGGGAUAACUUCAGGAAACUGGGGCUAAUACCGGAUAGGAGCUCCUGCUGCAUGGUGGGGGUUGGAAAGUUUCGGCGGUUGGGGAUGGACUCGCGGCUUAUCAGCUUGUUGGUGGGGUAGUGGCUUACCAAGGCUUUGACGGGUAGCCGGCCUGGGAGGGUGACCGGCCACAAUGGGACUGAGAUACGGCCCAGACUCCUACGUGAGGCAGCGGGGGGAAGUAUUGCACAAUGGGCGGAAGCCUGAGGCAGCAACGCCGCGUGCGGGAUGACGGCCUUCGGGUUGUAAACCGCUUUCGCCUGUGACGAAGCGUGAGUGACGGUAAUGGGUAAAGAAGCACCGGCUAACUACGUG
rnacentral:rRNA from 1 species